rnacentral:rRNA from 1 species
UACGGAGGGUGCAAGCGUUGUUCGGAAUUACUGGGCGUAAAGCGCGCGUAGGCGGCUAUUUAAGUCAGAUGUGAAAGUCCACGGCUCAACCGUGGAAGUGCAUUUGAAACUGGAUGGCUUGAGUACUGGAGGGGGUGGUGGAAUUCCCGGUGUAGAGGUGAAAUUCGUAGAUAUCGGGAGGAAUACCGGUGGCGAAGGCGACCACCUGGCCAGAUACUGACGCUGAGGUGCGAAAGCGUGGGGAGCAAACAGG